AGAAGGCAAGAAAAUAUCGUCGUUGUGCUCUCCUCCUCCUCUCUCGUUUGCAUCGUCCCCUUCCAUAUCUCCCUCAGUCCCUCUCCCUUACCACACCGCCGCGCCCCUCCCCACCUCGUCGCCUCCCCUCCCAAAGAUCCGGCUGGCCGUCCUGCACCGCCGCCUCCUCUCCACGAGAUUCGGGUCACGGUAGUGCCUCCUUGCUUCGAUCGCGUGCUGCUGCUACUGCUGCUAGGUACGUGUUGUGCCUUUUGUUUUGGUGGCGGUGAGUGGAUCUCUUUCUUAUUAUUUUUCAUAUGGAUUUUGGGAUAUGUAUUUAGUGCUCCCCACGUUGUCCCCCUCACCUCCUCCUCAAUGGUAUGGACGGAUCGGACGAGGCCGCGGUCACCGGAGAGUAAGCCAGCGGGAGGCCUCCGGCGUCAGCAUCUGUCUCUCCUAGUGAUGAGACCCUCCGUGGGGUUCUCUGUAUCUUCAUCGGCGACAUCCACUCCUCCGCAUCUGCAGGGAGCCACCGCGCCGGAUGCUUCAGAUGAGUACUGCGAGAGUGCAUCGUGCCUACGCGAGGUGCCCAGAAACUCAGUGCGGGGCUUGCUCGUGUGUGCAAGCCAAGGCAGCAGCCUCUGCACCAUCCUCGUCAUCUUGGAUGUUAGCUAUGGUGUUUUUCCAUCUUUGGAAUGUGCUCAAAACAUCCAAGAUAUACCCUCAGUAAUAUGCAUUUUGCUUGGGACAUCUAAGCUUGCUGCUAGCUAAAACUGGUCAAUGAUCCUCUUCAUGCCUGUGAGGAACUUCUUUGUUCAUUCCCGUCGGUUGUUUCAUCCACUUUUUGCUUCAUAGCAUAGUGAUGUUUGUACGUUAUCAAGGAGGUACAGGGCUUCAUGGAGCCCAUGUAAUCAAGUAACUAUCUCGUCUGGCAUCUUAGAGGAAUUGUUUUUGUUACAUGAUAAUAUCUUUUUUAUAUGUAGACCAUGGUCAAGUUUGGUGAAUGUUAUUUCCUGAAGCCUCAUUUGUUUAUUCAGGAAUGGGCAUUUUGCUCAUUUUUAGCAAUGCUAAAGAUAGUAUUGAGUUCUCAUAAUUGUUUCUAAACUAUGUGAUGUGAUGAAGAUUGUAGCUACCAGUUUUGUCUGACAAUUAAGAUUUUUGGCUGUGCCAAGGUUUUUUGCUUUAUGUAGAGCCAAUGCUUGGUUUGCAACUAUUUUUUUUGAAAGAAAUGCUAAACUUCCAGAACAAAUGUCAAGAUCAAUAUUUGUGUAGAGAUGUGUACCUAUUUGUUUCUUUGCACAAAGAUUUGCUCAGUUUCUGGAGAAUGCGCUCAUCAUAGUUGUUAUGGCUGCUGCAGGUAUCCUCAAUGCAUUAUGUCUUGACCUCCUCCAGAGUACAUGCAUCAAUUCAAUAUGGAUGGCUUUAAUGUCCUUAAUGCACGAAAGCAAUGUAAGUGUUUCUUUUGUUGGAGGAAUUGGUUUGGCUUUGGUGUGAGAUGAUUGUGUCCCUCAUUUUUGGAGCUUAGGAGUUUGGGAGCAGUACCUAUUGUGGAAUGCAAGUAAUCAUUCCUGCACACUAUUUUGGGACAACCACCAAAGAUCUAAUGAGAUUACAAAGGUAAGCCGUUACUGCUCAUUCUUCUUAGUUGUUUGUCGUACAAGUUAAGGAUCAUACAGAUUAAUGGAUAAUAAACUACUAAAUAUUAGCCAUUAAUUUAGUAUGUGCUACUUAGCUAUCUCCCCGCCAGACUUGUUCAGUCAAUUUAGCUUCAUGAUUCCAUUUGAAGGAGAAUUGUGGUUCUUGAAGGUGCGUAAAUUUGACGCGUUUAAGCAUGUGAGCCUAGAAGCCUUGUGUGAGGUAUUGUUUGCAACAUGUGGAUCUUACCAUAUGUCCUUGAAUGUUAAACCACUAUUGAGUACGAGGAGUAUGGGAGAGACUAACUUCGAAAAAACCAUCAAUUUUAUAGUAGGAUGCCUGAAAGAUCAUGAAAUUUAUAAAUAGAUGUGAACUAACCAUGUAAAUGUCAGAUAGCUGUACAUUGCAGAAAAGAAGUAAAGUAACAGAAAUUACAGAUGUCAUGUAACCUUAGAUGUUUGCCUGCCACCUUAUACAUUCUUAGUUACCUAUACUACCUUUGAUUCCCGAUUCUUUUUAUGUGCCAACACUGUAUUUUUCUCAAGUGAGGUAAUGAACGUUGUGUUUUUGGGUUCACGUGCACAAGGUUAAAAAUUGGGGCCAGUACUUAGAUAAGGACACAUGUGGGCAUGAGAAUUCAGAACUGAAAACAACGAUCACUCUGUCUAAGGAGGAGAUGCACGAGGGUUUUCUCUUUCCAACUAUUCUUCCUGUUUCUGUUUUAGCAUGAACAAGUUCGAUAUAAGUUCUCUAUCCUCAAAUGUAUUUUUUAUGAUUGAGACGUCCUAAGUUUCUAAUUAUGUGCGCAGACUAUUUUUAGUCUUAGAACUCUGCAGAUUUGCGACCUAUCUGCAUGAGGCAUUUGUUUUAUCAUGCUAUAUAUCAUAUAAUUAAGUAGAUGCUUGCCAAGGGAUAAAAGGUGGCUCCAAGCUGCUGUAAUACAGGGAAAUUAACUUUGGUCUACAUAUGCCAAUUGUGGUUUCCUAGAGGUAGUUACAGCUUGCUUCAUGCUCAUAUGAUGUCUUACAUUGUUAAAGUUACUUCUUAUAGGUAUCUACUCGUUACAUAUAUGUCCAUGUUUUAAAAUUGUUUGAACGCAUUGUGCUCUGUUUACUAGACAGCUGCCCCCAACCUAUAGAACCUUCUACAUUUCUAUCUUAUAGAUAACCAUGAGCUUAGUCUGAGAACAGAGAGCCCAGUUACAUUUUAGUAUCUCGUUAUGGAUUCAAGAUGUUUUUCUCCUCUCAUCUU